GUACAUGCUUGCUAUAUGUGGGAAUGAAGGCGUUUGAGAAUUAUCUUCCCCGGUAAAAGUAGAAUUUUUCCUUUAUCUAACACAAGACAACCAGUUUAUGAUCAAAAUCAUGAAGUAAUCGAAAGUCAAUUUUAGUUAAUGUAGUUGCUCAAUGCUCAUUGAUAAAAACUGAUAUCUGCUGAAAUUUUACACUGAAAAUAAUCUCUGUUUUUUGAUUAAAUGGUUAUUAAGAUGCUUCCAAGUUAUUACAAGCAUGUUUCUCAAUAAAAGAGCUCAUCGGUGCGUUAUUGGGCUUUCAUUGAAGAAGAAAUCAUCAUUGAGUAAAGUAAACAGAAAAAGAACAUGUUAAUGGGUGUGGUGCAGGUGCUGAAUUGAGGUCAUGAUCGAGAUGGAUAGUUUAUUUUAUUCUUGUGAUCAGUUUAAUGACGACGGUAUUGUAUGGCCGGGUUUACUCUGUUUUGGUAACUUGUUCUUUCCUUAUUCUCUGUUUCUCGAGCACUAGAAGUGGAAGAUUUUAAGAUCAUGAAUUGGGAUUCACGACCAAAGCGAGUCAGUCAUAGUGUAAACAAAUAUUAUUAUUCAAAUCCACGACUUUCUGGAAAAUGAAAUUGAUAUUUGAUCUUCACCAUUCCCUCAAUGACACUUUUCUUGGCCUAGAAGGGGAUGAAGAAGAGGAGGACAAUCAUUUGGAAGGGGGGAGUCACAAGAGGAUGUCGAUCUCAAAGAAGCAUUUAAGGUAUUUGACAAAAAUGGAGAUGGAUACAUAUCUGCUAACGAAUUGCAACACGUGUUAGUGAAGUUGGGUUUCGCUGAAGGAAGCGAGAUCGAUCAUUGUCGGAAGAUGAUACUAGUUGAUCCCAAUCACGAAGGCCGCAUUGAGUUCAAGGACAUGAUGUGAAAGAUGUUCAUUGGUGACAAAGUUCUUCAACCUACACUUACACUGUGUCUAGACAGCUGGAGGACAAAAGGUAAAAUAAUUGAAAUUCCUGUUGACAGUUGGGCUUGUGUCAAGAAUGGGAAGUAUAGAGGUGACCUUGCGCAGGUAAUGGGAAGGUCGCCUCCCAAUGAUAUGUUGCUCCUUGUGCGAGCCUUGCGCAAGAGAGGACAUGUUGUUGGUGUAACAGGAGAUGGAAUCAAUGAUGCCCCCCGCACUGAAUGAGGCUGAUAUUGGUCUCUCAAGGGGCAUCCAAGGAACAGAAGUCGCAAAAGAGAGUUCAGACAUAAUAAUAUUGGAUGAUAACUUCGCUUCUAU